GCCGAUGACAAAUCGGAGGAAGUGGGGAUGACGUCAAAUCAUCAUGCCCCUUAUGUCCUGGGCUACACACGUAAUACAAUGGCAACGACAGAGGGCAGCUACCUCGCGAGAGCAAGCGAAUCCCUAAACGUUGUCUCAGUUCGGAUUGCAGGCUGCAACUCGCCUGCAUGAAGUCGGAAUUGCUAGUAAUGGCAGGUCAGCAUACUGCCGUGAAUACGUUCCCGGGCCUU
rnacentral:rRNA from 1 species